ACUCCUACGGGAGGCAGCAGUGGGGAAUAUUGCACAAUGGGCGCAAGCCUGAUGCAGCCAUGCCGCGUGUAUGAAGAAGGCCUUCGGGUUGUAAAGUACUUUCAGCGGGGAGGAAGGCGAUAAGGUUAAUAACCUUGUUGAUUGACGUUACCCGCAGAAGAAGCACCGGCUAACUCCGUGCCAGCAGCCGCGGUAAUACGGAGGGUGCAAGCGUUAAUCGGAAUUACUGGGCGUAAAGCGCACGCAGGCGGUCUGUCAAGUCGGAUGUGAAAUCCCCGGGCUCAACCUGGGAACUGCAUUCGAAACUGGCAGGCUAGAGUCUUGUAGAGGGGGGUAGAAUUCCAGGUGUAGCGGUGAAAUGCGUAGAGAUCUGGAGGAAUACCGGUGGCGAAGGCGGCCCCCUGGACAAAGACUGACGCUCAGGUGCGAAAGCGUGGGGAGCAAACAGGAUUAGAUACCCCGGUAGUCCCAUGAU
rnacentral:rRNA from 1 species